UACGUAGGGUGCAAGCGUUGUCCGGAAUUAUUGGGCGUAAAGAGCUCGUAGGCGGUCUGUCACGUCGGAUGUGAAAACUCGGGGCUCAACCCCGAGCCUGCAUACGAUACGGGCAGACUUGAGUUCGGCAGGGGAGACUGGAAUUCCUGGUGUAGCGGUGAAAUGCGCAGAUAUCAGGAGGAACACCGGUGGCGAAGGCGGGUCUCUGGGCCGAUACUGACGCUGAGGAACGAAAGCGUGGGGAGCGAACAGG
rnacentral:rRNA from 1 species